GUUGGAAGUGUUGUUGGUGGUGAAGGUAGUAGUAGUAGUUGCAGUAACAGCGUAUAUAAAAGUCGUGCGCUCUUCAUCUAGAGCGCAUUUGCAGACAACUUCGCAAUUCAUUGUGGUUCAGCAAAUCUGAAGGUUUAAAAAAAACCUACAUACAUACGCAAAACAGUUACUGAUCUCUCGUCUACUGCAGCUGAUGCUUCAGUGUCACAAUACGAGCCUCACAUGACAUCAAUAUUUCCUCGUGUGUAAUUCAUAACUUCUGAAAGCAACAUCCAGUCGACAUCGUAGACUAAGAAGUUUUUUUCUCUAACAUACAAGAAUCAAGAUUUAUUUGUUUUAUCCACACUCUUCUACCAAAAAUGGAUAAGCUGAUGACAAGCUUCCACCAGGGAACUGCACCAUUUAAUGCCACCUUUCAAGUUAGAGUAUAUAAUUCUUUAAGGAUGUCAGGUACAGUUUCCCUGCUCCGGACUACUAAAUUUCUCCCCGUAGAUCGGGGCGAAGCGAGUGAAGUUUUCACCAAAGCGACCCAGUACUCAACAAAAGAGGACACCCAAAGAAGUUACAUUGAAGAACUUGGUACCAACUUUAUGGAAUAUAAGAAAGACGAUUUUAAAAUCGGUCCCGUCGACGUUCAGCUUUCGAAAUCAUUUAAAGAGCUGAAAGAAAUUAAACUCUCUCCCAGCGACUUAGUAGACGGAUCAGAAAUCGGUUUCAUAGAUUCAAUAGCUAUCGAUAAGUUUACUGAAAACGAAUCGGAAAUUGGUAUUGAUCGCUGGCUCUGGUCAGAAUCACGUUAUCCCAUCACUGUUUAUCCAGUCAUGCUAAAGGCAGAUCCACAUAAAGCAGAACGAAUAAAAGAAAUGCAGAAGUAUCGUGACCUCUAUAAGUUAAAAUACGUAGAGGGCUUCCCUCUUAAGGUGAGUAUAUAUCUGGUAUUGUAAUAAAAAGAU